AUGUGCACAGAUGAUUUAUGAGAAGCACUAGAGCGUAACUUGUGUGCAGAAGGCCGGACGGGUCACAGAGGUGACUCCGGUAGAGUGAUAAUGAUAGAUUUUGAGCUCUAGGUUCAACCGUAUAGGGCUAUUAGAGGGCCUACGGUUGAUUACUUUCUUGCACCUGAUAUGAUUAUGUUGAUGCAUUCAUACCUUAUUACUGUUGAGAUGAUGUGGCAUGGCAUAAUUAAUAUGAGAAAUGUUGAGAUGACAUGGCAUGGCAUGAUUGAUAAAGAGAUAAUGUUGAGAUAGUAAAAAAUGAAGUUUUGAGAAUAUAUAUGUAUAUUUAUAUUUUACAUUUCUGGGAAAGUAUACAGGUUUUACGGAGAGGGGUUACAACGUUUUGAGAAAUGUUUGGAUUUGGAAAAGAAUUGUUUUACUGACCCACUCAAUUUUGGUUUUGCGCCCCUCCAGGUUCAGGAAUCACAAAGGUGUGGUGACUACGAGGAAUUCGACGGUGUUCUGACAGAUUGGACAAAAUUAGGACUCACCUUCGGGUGUAUCAACUUAUAAAUUAUAUCUUAAAGCUUCCGUACUGUGCAAAUGGUUACGUCACUCUCACGUGACGGCCUCAGAACACCGUCGAAUUCCUCGUAGUCACCACACCUUUGUGAUUCCUGAACCUGGAGGGGCGCAAAACCAAAAUUGAGUGGGUCAGUAAAACAAUUCUUUUCCAAAUCCAAACAUUUCUCAAAACGUUGUAACCCCUCUCCGUAAAACCUGUAUACUUUCCCAGAAAUGUAAAAUAUAAAUAUACAUAUAUAUUCUCAAGACUUCAAGUCGUUAACUCAACAUUUUCAUACAAUUAUGCCAUGCCACAUCAUCUCAACAUUUCUCAUAUUAAUUAUGCCAUGCCACAUCAUCUCAACAGUAAUAAGGUAUGAAUGCAUCAACAUAAUCAUAUCAGGUGCCAGAAAGUAAUCAAUCGUAGGCCCUCUAAUAGCCCUGUACGGUUGAACCUAGAGCUCAAAAUCUAUCAUUCUCACACUCUGCCGGAGUCACUCCGCGUGACCUGUACGGCCUUCUGCACAUAAGUUACGCUCUAGUGCUUCUCAUAAUCAUCUGUGCACAUAAUCUAAGGUCACCCACCAGUCGGAAUCUCACUAACACUCUCCCGACUGGCCUGUCGUACCCACUCCGCGUGGACUGUACGACUAGCAUCUACUUGGAUCCAAGACGAGCGUGCGAUGCGGUGAAUACUAUAAGCACUAAACUAUGGUGCAGGAUUUGAGCUCAAUAUACAUCAACAUCAUCAUAACAGAAAUAAAUACUCACAUGUGCGUCCACCGCACCAUUUCAUACAUAUGCAUCAUAAAUCAAUUCUUACCCGUGCGUCCACCGCACCAAUUCAUACAUAUGCAUCAUAAAUCAAUUCUUACUUGUGCGUCCACCGCACCAAUUCAUACAUAUGCAUCAUAAAUCAAUUCUUACCUGUGCGUCCACCGCACUAAUUCAUACAUAUGCAUCAUAUAUUAAUUCAUGCAUGGCAUUUCAACUCACAUUUCUAAAUACUUUUCAUAUCAAUUCUAUGCAUGGUAUUUCACUUCCCGUUUUUCCACAUAACUCAUAUGCAUUUCAUUUUAAACAUAUUUUCAUUUCAAUUCAAUUUUUGGGAAACGUCAAGUAUAUAUAUAUACGGAAAACAAAACUGCCCACUCACCUGGAGUUCGUCCAACAACUCCCUAGCACCACACAUCAAGGCGUCACGACGAUCGCCGCCUAGAAUAGUAAUCAAAUCCAACCUCAGAAUUCAUAGUGAUAGAAUAUAUAACUUAUAUAAAAUACGUCACUACGUAGUUCGAUCCGGAAGAUCUGCCACUCAGAUUUUAAAUCCAUAACUUCCAGAGGUCCACAAUAUAUCUCUAGGAUAACAUCCUAAAAUUUCAUUUCCAUCCAACGGUCGGAUCUCCGUCAAUUUCCAAAAAUAAGUGACGGUUAACAUUUUAUAUUAUGGACUUACAAUUCCAAUUCCGGAAGAUCCGUAACUCGGAUUCCCAAUCCGUAAGUUCCAAUAAUCCUCAAAUAUUACGUAUUACAACGUAUCAAAGUUUGGUAACGAUCCAACGGUAGGACUCACCUUCGGGUGUAUCAAUUUAAAUUGUAUCUUAAAGCUUCCGUACUGUGCAAAUGGUUACGUCACUCUCACGUGACGGCCAGCAUGCCCUCCUUCGGGACGGGGUGUGUCAGUUGGUAUCAGAGCAUGGUUGCAAUCUUGGACAUUUUGAGAAGUUCUAGUGAAUUCUGUCAGAACUACACCGCCUCGUAGCAAACCACGUAGUUAGAGGAACUUAGUCUCCCUGAUUUAGCGGGUUAGGGGAAACUAUUCUUAUGGUGAUUCAGUAUAUUAGAAAAAUGGACAUUUUAAGACGGGUUAUGAGUUGAAUUUGAAUCACUUAAGAGAAAUGAUGAACCUGAGGGAAC
rnacentral:lncRNA from 1 species